CAGAGGGUGCAAGCGUUAAUCGGAAUUGCUGGGCGUAAAGCGUGCGUAGACGGUUAUUUAAGUCAGGUGUGAAAGCCCCGGGCUCAACCUGGGAAUUGCAUUUGAGACUGAAUAGCUAGGGUGCGGAAGAGGGAAGCGGAAUUUCCGGUGUAGCGGUGGAAUGCGUAGAUAUCGGAAGGAACACCAGUGGCGAAAGCGGCUUCCUGGUCCAGCACCGACGUUCAGGCACGAAAGCGUGGGGAGCAAACAGGAUUAGAUACCCUGGUAGUCCACGCCAUAAACGAUGAGAACUAGACGUUGAGAGGGUAAGCCUCCCAGUGUCGCAGCUAACGCGAUAAGUUCUCCGCCUGGGGAGUACGGCCGCAAGGUUG
rnacentral:rRNA from 1 species